GGCGCGCGCUCUGGGACCCGUCCGCGCCCCACGCCGCGGCGCAGUCUCCGGGGUUCCUGCAGCUUGCGCACGCCCGCCGGAGCGGGAGGAGGCGCGAGUCAGGACCCAGCUCCUGCCAGUCCUGGGAGCUGCGUGAGGGGUUCAGGGACGGGCAGAGACACACCAUAGGUGCCGGUGCCCUGCACGGGAUAGCACAUCCCGCGGGCUUUCCUCCUGCCCACUAGCCUCCUAAGGCCGGGUCCUCUCCAGCCAGAAGACUGGCGCAAGGCCAAAGACAGAUAAAGAGGCAUUUUUAAAUUCAAGUCUUUCUUGCUCCAUGAGUAGAAGAGUAUAGAGAAGGGAGGGGAACAAUCUCUGCUGGAGCUACAGAAGUAUUAGGCGAGUAAAACUCUCUGGCCAGAUGACAGAGAGCCUGCCCUGCCUCCGCAGCGUCCAUGCAGCCGUCCGAAACUUCUGGUUGGGAGAUGGUUCAAGAAUGAAGAGACUGGCCACCAAGUCAGAGAACCCGAGUUCGGUCCCAACAGCCCCACGUGGUGGGAGGAGAGAACCAACUUCUACAAGUUGCCCUCUGACCUUCACACGCGGACACACAACCCCCUUCCCUAACAGACGAGCCAGAGGGGAUGGAGGACACCGAGGAAUCAAGGCUUUCUUUACACAACAGGGCUGGCACACAUAUAAACUCACGGGGACUGAGGCAGCAUGCACAGGUCUGCACCGGACGGGCCCUAGAACUGAAAGAGAAGUGGACACGUACCCUCAUCCCUGACCCAGAAGCCAUCUCCAAUCAAUAACCACUUGCAAAUAAAAACUUAGUUUUCUCCAAGGGAAUCUCACUGGGGAAACAAAUUAUUCUUAAGAGUAGGCCCCAUGUCCAGCAGUAGAUGUCCAACAGAACACAAGCUCAGCGGCAUCUUUGUCUCUGGAUAAUAAUUUUUUUUCUUACAGGUCCUUUGCAUGUAAAUUACAGCUUCCAGUUUUCUGUGUUUGUAAUUCCUGUGCGUGUAAACCUGUGUCUCUGUGUCUCUAUGUGUUUCUUGUACUUUUUCAUGUUUGGUUGUUUUGUCCUAUUCUGAUUUUGUGGUGGUUGUUGUUUUAUUUCGUUUUAUCUUAUAAUUAUUUCUUAGAUGCCAAUUUGUUUUCUAAAGAGAGACAGAAAGGGCAUGGAUCCAGAUGGUAGGGGAGGUGGGGAAGAACUGGGAGGAGUAGGCAGGGGUGGGGGACUGUGAUCAGAAUAUAUUGUAUGAAAAAAAUCUAUUUUCAAUUAAAAAAUAAAUAGAUGUAGAAGAGUAUUGAACAAGCACUGAGUGGCUCUGGGAAUAAAGUAACACUGAAAGUGAGGAAAAGUAGAUACAUUUUUCUGCCUUUCCCUUGCUUGUAAUGUAUUGCUGUGGGGUGGGCAGUAUAAGAUUUCAGUGAAUGGACAAGAGUCACAAAUCCACACACUUCUGAAUGUUCCUCCAUGCGUAGUCAGGUUUGGAAAUGGCAUUCACUUUUCAUCUUUUUCUAUCUUUUCUACACGAAAGGAAAAAAAAAAUCCACAGGGAACCUCUUUAGCCUAUUUAAGACUGACUGUCUUUUAAAAUUCCUGGGUCAGGUGAAACAGGCGCAUUCAGCUUCCUGGGUGCUUUGGAGCCUGUGUGUGGCUGCUUUUACCCGGUGCUCCUGGCCACCCAUUUGCAAAUGCAGAUGGCUGAGGGGUAUGCUGUCUUCUCCCAUGAUACACCGAAAUCUCAUAGCUCUGCUAUAGAAGUUUACAUCUACGUAUAUGUAUGACAGCAGAUCUGUUCCCCGCAUUUCCUUCCAUCCCUGAACUAUUUGCCUGGCAGAGAUAAAGAGGGACCACACACGAGGGACAACAUUGUUCACUUUAGCCCUUCUUUCCUGUUUUCUUUACCUUAUGUGGGAACAACAGGCCAGGGAACAAUUUUUUCUCUAGUAGACAGAUCCCCCAUUGCCGUGUGCUGUUCACUAUAGGGAACAAAGAACCUGUGCCCAUCUGAAUCCGGACUUCACAUUGGGGAAGCACCUCAAAUUUAUUCAUUUCCCAAUUAGCUUCUUCAAUAUGUUUAAUGUGAUAAAUGAGUUACAUUAGCACUGACCUCUUCAUAACCACCUUCGUUCUUUCUAUUUUUACUAUUUAUGGAAAUAUCGAGGGCCUCAGAAGUAGAAGAGGCUUAGACUUCUGUCAAGGACUCCAAGAAGUCCUGGCCUAGAUUUUAUGAGACAUUUUGUUUAUCAGAGACCCAUCUUAAAAAAAAAAAGAAACCCCAAAUGAGAAUCUGCCUAUAAAUUAAAAAUCUACAGGAAUGAUUAAAAACAAAAAUAACAAAACAGUGCAUUUUUAUAUAUUGAAAUAAUUAAUCCUGUAUUUAGCCACUCUGACAGACAGCAUCUGAUAGUAACUCAUGAUGAUGUAGAGAUUUAAUAACAUGCCUUAUAUAAAUUAAAAUUACAACCUUUGAUGGGAUUUUCUUCCUCAUCUAAAUGCUUCUAGGUGGAGGGUACUGAUUAUGAAAGGAUUUUGAGAAACUUAUAUUUGCAGAGUUCUCUUCAAUUUUUCAAUGUCUAAAUUCAAUCUAUGCAUUACUUUAUUAUGAAAAGGUUAAAAAAUGAAAAUGACAUAUUAUUUUUAUCUGAAACAACUAAUAAGUGUGUGGUACAAUUUCUCUUAAAAUCUUCAGCUAAGACUUGUAGUAGUAACUCUGUUGAUGUGCUCAAGGCAAUGGGAUGAGGACUUAACAGAAUAUACUCUAGCUACAAACUUCUAACUUAGCCAAGGAAGGGGAGCCCUGCUGUAGUGGGUAGCCGUUCCAAUCUUGAUCUGGAAGUUCCAACCCCAUUGAGGCUUUGGUAACUGUCACGCCUACAAGGCAGGGCCAAGAGAGGACCCUGAAGACCCAAGAUCUGAAUGCGCCGGCUCUCUUGGUUCCUGGACCCUGGACGCUGGAGGUAGACCGAACAGAGUUCUCCAGAGAACACCGCUGGACUGCACUACGUCUUUCCCAGACCCUGCGACCUACCUAUCCUUUCAUUUGUAAGUUACGCCACUAAAUAAACCUCCCUUUUAACUACGUGGAGUGGCCUUAAUAAUUUCGGCAAUACCCUGCUUUUCUUACUGUCUUAAAAGAUGGUCAUUUGAAAAUGGACCCAAACCAAACAUCCCAGCAAAAUGACUGAUUGAAGAGGGACCUGCGUGGAUGUCAGGAUGUUACUCAGCUACAGACAGAGAAGUUGCCUCUGCCUUCUUUCGGUGUUCUUAUGGAGAGCACCCUUAUAAGUGUGAGCCAGGUGGAGUAGAUGGUAUAAAGGCCUUUUUAAAAAUACAAUUUUUAAUUAAAAUGUAAUUAUAUUGCUUGUCCCCUUUCCUCUUUCCAGCUCCUCCCAUGCACUCUCCACUUCUCAAAUUGAUGGCCUUGUUGUUGUUUUCUUGGAUUAUUGUUGUUAUGUAUCUCGAUUUGCACCAAUCUGCUAAGUCCAUUUGUGUUGCUUAUGUGUAUACGAUUUCAGAGCUGAUGACUUUGUGUUGGGUAAUCAAUUAGGGGACUCAUCCCUGUGUGACACUAAUUCUCCCUCUCAGCCUAUGCAAUACCUGAACAACAACGACAGUGUCCGUAGACUUGCUAAUGUCUGAGUGGGGAAAUCUAAUAGGGUAUGGCCCCCAGACAAAGAACUACAUGGAACCAAAGGUCUUGUUUUACGAAACAGAUUUGUGGUUCAGUGGGAGGAUUGGAGGUGUGGCUCCAGCCUUAGUGGACAUCAGGGUUGCCUGGGGAUUUGGUUCUGGACACUAAGCUCUAUCUACCCUUAGUGCUUUCUAUCAGGCAGGGGCCCAAGAAUCUGCAUUUCAACAAAUGCUCAGUUGCAACUAUCCACAAUUCAAGAAAAGCCAACUUAGGUAACAGAAUGUAUUUUUCCAUAUUUUCAAGAGUAAGUGUUUGUGUCUGUAUAAGCUAUUUAGUUUUCAAAGUUUUGGAUUUUUCCUUAAUCUAAAUAAAUAUACAAUGAACUCGGUACUUGUCACUGGUUU